CAUGGGGGGCAGCCUGAUCUAGCCAUGCCGCGUGAGUGAUGAAGGCCUUAGGGUUGUAAAGCUCUUUCAGCUGGGAAGAUAAUGACGGUACCAGCAGAAGAAGCCCCGGCUAACUCCGUGCCAGCAGCCGCGGUAA
rnacentral:rRNA from 1 species